AGGUGUUUAGGUUAACGUAAGACCAGGAGCCUUCAAAGCUCCAAGAGGGGGUUAAAAUCCCCCAACCCCUG
rnacentral:tRNA from 1 species